UGGGGAAUUUUGGACAAUGGGCGCAAGCCUGAUCCAGCCAUGCCGCGUGAGUGAAGAAGGCCUUCGGGUUGUAAAGCUCUUUCGGCGGGGACGAAACGGUUCGUGACAACACCACGGACUAAUGACGGUACCCGCAUAAGAAGCACCGGCUAACUACGUGCCAGCAGCCGCGGUAAUACGUAGGGUGCAGGCGUUAAUCGGAAUUACUGGGCGUAAAGCGUGCGCAGGCGGUUUGUUAAGACAGGUGUGAAAUCCCCGGGCUUAACCUGGGAAUUGCGCUUGUAACUGGCAGGCUAGAGUGUGGCAGAGGGGGGUAGAAUUCCACGUGUAGCAGUGAAAUGCGUAGAUAUGUGGAGGAAUACCGAUGGCGAAGGCAGCCCCCUGGGAUAACACUGACGCUCAUGCACGAAAGCGUGGGGAGCAAACAGGAUUAGAUACCCGGGUAGUCCCUGAGCGGGCUGGCAAGGCGCAU
rnacentral:rRNA from 1 species